rnacentral:rRNA from 1 species
GGGGUAGAGCACUGUUUCGGCUAGGGGGCCAUCCCGGCUUACCAACCCGAUGCAAACUGCGAAUACCGGAGAAUGUUAUCACGGGAGACACACGGCGGGUGCUAACGUCCGUCGUGAAGAGGGAAACAACCCAGACCGCCAGCUAAGGUCCCAAAGUCAUGGUUAAGUGGGAAACGAUGUGGGAAGGCCCAGACAGCCAGGAUGUUGGCUUAGAAGCAGCCAUCAUUUAAAGAAAGCGUAAUAGCUCACUGGUCGAGUCGGCCUGCGCGGAAGAUGUAACGGGGCUAAACCAUGCACCGAAGCUGCGGCAGCGACACUGUGUGUUGUUGGGUAGGGGAGCGUUCUGUAAGCCUGUGAAGGUGUGUCGUGAGGCAUGCUGGAGGUAUCAGAAGUGCGAAUGCUGACAUAAGUAACGAUAAAGCGGGUGAAAAGCCCGCUCGCCGGAAGACCAAGGGUUCCUGUCCAACGUUAAUCGGGGCAGGGUGAGUCGACCCCUAAGGCGAGGCCGAAAGGCGUAGUCGAUGGGAAACGGGUUAAUAUUCCCGUACUUGGUGUUACUGCGAAGGGGGGACGGAGAAGGCUAUGUUGGCCGGGCGACGGUUGUCCCGGUUUAAGCGUGUAGGUGUGUGUUCCAGGUAAAUCCGGUUCACUUUAACACUGAGGCGUGACGACGAGGCACUACGGUGCUGAAGCAACAAAUGCCCUGCUUCCAGGAAAAGCCUCUAAGCAUCAGGUAACAUCAAAUCGUACCCCAAACCGACACAGGUGGUCAGGUAGAGAAUACCAAGGCGCUUGAGAGAACUCGGGUGAAGGAACUAGGCAAAAUGGUGCCGUAACUUCGGGAGAAGGCACGCUGACACGUAGGUGAAGUGAUUUACUCAUGGAGCUGAAGUCAGUCGAAGAUACCAGCUGGCUGCAACUGUUUAUUAAAAACACAGCACUGUGCAAACACGAAAGUGGACGUAUACGGUGUGACGCCUGCCCGGUGCCGGAAGGUUAAUUGAUGGGGUCAGCGCAAGCGAAGCUCCUGAUCGAAGCCCCGGUAAACGGCGGCCGUAACUAUAACGGUCCUAAGGUAGCGAAAUUCCUUGUCGGGUAAGUUCCGACCUGCACGAAUGGCGUAAUGAUGGCCAGGCUGUCUCCACCCGAGACUCAGUGAAAUUGAACUCGCUGUGAAGAUGCAGUGUACCCGCGGCAAGACGGAAAGACCCCGUGAACCUUUACUAUAGCUUGACACUGAACAUUGAGCCUUGAUGUGUAGGAUAGGUGGGAGGCUUUGAAGUGUGGACGCCAGUCUGCAUGGAGCCGACCUUGAAAUACCACCCUUUAAUGUUUGAUGUUCUAACGUGGACCCGUUACCCGGGUUGCGGACAGUGUCUGGUGGGUAGUUUGACUGGGGCGGUCUCCUCCUAAAGAGUAACGGAGGAGCACGAAGGUUGGCUAAUCCUGGUCGGACAUCAGGAGGUUAGUGCAAUGGCAUAAGCCAGCUUGACUGCGAGCGUGACGGCGCGAGCAGGUGCGAAAGCAGGUCAUAGUGAUCCGGUGGUUCUGAAUGGAAGGGCCAUCGCUCAACGGAUAAAAGGUACUCCGGGGAUAACAGGCUGAUACCGCCCAAGAGUUCAUAUCGACGGCGGUGUUUGGCACCUCGAUGUCGGCUCAUCACAUCCUGGGGCUGAAGUAGGUCCCAAGGGUAUGGCUGUUCGCCAUUUAAAGUGGUACGCGAGCUGGGUUUAGAACGUCGUGAGACAGUUCGGUCCCUAUCUGCCGUGGGCGCUGGAGAACUGAGGGGGGCUGCUCCUAGUACGAGAGGACCGGAGUGGACGCAUCACUGGUGUUCGGGUUGUCAUGCCAAUGGCACUGCCCGGUAGCUAAAUGCGGAAGAGAUAAGUGCUGAAAGCAUCUAAGCACGAAACUUGCCCCGA